UGGGGAAUAUUGCACAAUGGGCGCAAGCCUGAUGCAGCCAUGCCGCGUGUGUGAAGAAGGCCUUCGGGUUGUAAAGCACUUUCAGCGAGGAGGAAGGUGGUGAAGCUUAAUACGCUCAUCAAUUGACGUUACUCGCAGAAGAAGCACCGGCUAACUCCGUGCCAGCAGCCGCGGUAAUACGGAGGGUGCAAGCGUUAAUCGGAAUUACUGGGCGUAAAGCGCACGCAGGCGGUUUGUUAAGUCAGAUGUGAAAUCCCCGGGCUCAACCUGGGAACUGCAUUUGAAACUGGCAAGCUAGAGUCUCGUAGAGGGGGGUAGAAUUCCAGGUGUAGCGGUGAAAUGCGUAGAGAUCUGGAGGAAUACCGGUGGCGAAGGCGGCCCCCUGGACGAAGACUGACGCUCAGGUGCGAAAGCGUGGGGCAGCAACAGGAUUAGAUACCCUGGUAGUCCACGCUGUAAACGAUGUCGAUUUUGGAGGUUGUGCCCUUGAGGCGUGGCUUCCGGAGCUAACGCGUUAAAUCGACCGCCUGGGGAGUACGGCCGCAAGGUUAAAACUCAAAGU
rnacentral:rRNA from 1 species